rnacentral:tRNA from 1 species
AUUUAUAUAGUUUAAAUUAAAACUUUACAUUUUCACUGUAAAAAUAAAAUAUAUUCAUUUUUAUAAAUU